rnacentral:rRNA from 1 species
AACGAACGCUGGCGGCAGGCUUAACACAUGCAAGUCGAACGCAUCCUUCGGGGUGAGUGGCAGACGGGUGAGUAACGCGUGGGAACGUGCCCUUCAGUUCGGGAUAACCCAGGGAAACUUGGGCUAAUACCGGAUACGUGCGAGAGCAGAAAGAUUUAUCGCUGAAGGAUCGGCCCGCGUCUGAUUAGCUAGUUGGUGGGGUAAUGGCCCACCAAGGCGACGAUCAGUAGCUGGUCUGAGAGGAUGAUCAGCCACAUUGGGACUGAGACACGGCCCAAACUCCGACGGGAGGCAGCAGUGGGGAGUAUUGGACAAUGGGCGCAAGCCUGAUCCAGCCAUGCCGCGUGAGUGAUGAAGGCUUUAGGGUUGUAAAGCUCUUUCGUCCGGGACGAUAAUGACGGUACCGGAAGGAGAAGCCCCGGCUAACUUCGUGCCAGCCGCCGCCGUAAUAC